CAAAGGAUGGUGGAAACCCAACGGGAAGUUCUUGAAACCAUCAAAAAGUGGUGGAAACCCAACGGGAAGGUCUUGGAAGCAUCAAAGGAUGGUGGAAACCCAAUGGGAAGGUCCUGAAACCAUCAAAAAAUAGCGGAAGCCCAACAGGAAGGUCUUGAAACCCUCAAAAAAUGGUUUAAAACCGACAAAAACUGAUGGAAACCCAAUGGGAAGGUCUUGAAACCAUCAAAAAGUGGUGGAAACCCAACGGGAAGGUCUUGAAACCAUCAAAAAAUGGCUUAAAACCGACAAAAACUGACGGAAACCCAACGGGAAGGUCUUGGAAGCAUCAAAGGAUGGUGGAAACCCAACAGGAAGGUCUUGGAAGCACCAAAGGAUGGUGAAAACCCAACGGGAAGGUCUUGAAACCAUCAAAAAAUGGCUUAAAACCGACAAAAACUGACGGAAACCCAACGGGAAGGUCUUGGAAGCAUCAAAUGGUGGAAACUCAAUGGAAAACUCCUGAAAGCAUCAAAUGAUGGUGGAAACCCAACAGGAAGGGUUUGAAACCCUCAAAAAUUGACUGGAAACCAUCAAAAAUGGGUGGAAACCCAACGGGAAGGUCUUGAAACCAUCAAAAAGUGGUGGAAACCCAACGGGAAGGUCUUGGAAGCAUCAAAGGAUGGUGAAACCCAACGGGAAGGUCUUGGAAGCAUCAAAGGAUGGUGGAAACCCAAUGGGAAGGUCUUGGAAGCAUCAAAAAAUGGCUUAAAACCGACAAAAAGUGAUGGAAACCCAACGGGAAGGUCUUGGAAGCAUCAAAGGAUGGUGGAAACCCAACGGGAAGGUCUUGAAUCCAUGAAAAGAUGGUGGAAACCCAACGGGCAGGUCUGGGAAGCAGCGAGAGCCGCGUCGGGAGCGGCCGGAA